rnacentral:rRNA from 1 species
CGGCACGGGUGAGUAACACGUAUGCAACCUGCCUGCCACAGCCGGAUAAUCGGGAGAAAUUCCGUCUAAUACGGCAUAAUGCAUCGACGGGACAUCCUGUUGGUGCCAAGGGUUGAUUCCGGUGGCGGAUGGGCAUGCGUCGCAUUAGUUAGUUGGCGGUGUAACGGACCACCAAGACGACGAUGCGUAGGGGUUCUGAGAGGAAGGUCCCCCACACUGGUACUGAGACACGGACCAGACUCCUACGGAAGGCAGCAG